rnacentral:rRNA from 1 species
UACGUAGGGACCAAGCGUUGUUCGGAUUUACUGGGCGUAAAGGGCGCGUAGGCGGCAAUUCAAGUCACUUGUGAAAUCUCCGAGCUUAACUCGGAACGGUCAAGUGAUACUGCUUUGCUAGAGUGCAGAAGGGGCAACCGGAAUUCUUGGUGUAGCGGUGAAAUGCGUAGAUAUCAAGAGGAACACCGGAGGUGAAGACGGGUUGCUGGGCUGACACUGACGCUGAGGCGCGAAAGGCUAGGGUAGCAAACAGG